AUCUAUCUCUUCUCCAAAUCUCUGUCACGAGAUGAAAUUGAGAUCAAAUUGAGACGAACUCCGUUGAACUUGACCGACGAUCUCGAAUAUCGCCACCGUCUUCGAUUUGGAAGAGAGCGACGAACUCGUCCAUGUCAAUGAAUCUGUUACCGUCAAGAUCUAACUCUUUCAUCAUCAACGUUGUUUCUUCCGGCAACGCCGUGGGACUGAGAGCUCCGAUCACGUCUUUGAGCUAUGGAGAUUUCCCGUCUCCGUUUUUGUCGGACCGUUGGAGUUAUCUUCUUAAUCCGACUCGAAUUAUACUCACUUCUAUCUUUAUUGGAUUAGGUUAUUCUUAGCAUGUUAUUACAUGGGAUCUAAAUCAGUGAAUGUAAGGUCGAGAAACUUUGAAACUUACACUUAUUGGAUAGGGAGAUUACACAUGCAGAGUUUGUGAUAUUUGUCUUUGCUACGACUUUUAGACAUAGUUCUGAAGAGAUCUAGUUGUUUAAAAUGAGAAAGUUUUAUCUUUUGACUUUGCUACAGAAUUUUCAUGAGCUUACGGCUUGAUGAUAUACAUAAUACAUGCAUAUGUAGAGCUACUGAUUAAGAUGACACUAUGACAACUUUCAAGCUAGACAAUGAGAUUAAGAUGCGUGUAUGCCUCUUGCAAUACCAAGGGGUUUCGAAGUUAAUGAGAGCACGCAACUGUGUUACAAGUUGCUCAAGUUCAUCAAAGAGAAAUUAUAUGAGGACAUGGGUAAUGGAUUGAGUGAGCAGUUUCUGAUUGAAUCUGAGAUGAAUGUACAUGGAACACGGCGUGGAACUGAAAGCCUCAAGAGGAGUUUGCAGACUGUCAACGGUUUAUUGGUUGAGAAAGACAAUGAGAUUGCAUCAAACUCAGAGUCAUUGAUGUUUACUGAAGCCAAACAACCAAUCAGUGGAGAAACUCCUGAGAGCUGUACUGAGAGCAGAGACUCUAGUAACGAGUUUUGUUAAGAGAGAAGCUGUAUUUCAAGGAACAAGAUAUCGAACAGCUGCAAGCUGAAGUAGCAGCAGGUGUAAGAGGUAACGAAGUUCUCCAACGUGAAAUCCAGAGCGUCUUAGACAGCCUCUCAGUAAAAACACACCAAUUAAAAGACUUCAAGAUUCAGAUGGUGAAGAAGGACGAGAACGUGAAACGGCUUGAAACUAAUCUCCAAGAAGCUGCUAAACAGUUAGCUAGCAUGAAAGUUGCAUUACCAAAAGUGUUGGAGGAAAGAGAAGAGAUGUGUAAGGAAGUGAAUGACUGCAGAAAGAUAAAUAUGGAUUUGGAGUUAGAGAAGGAGAUGUUGAAGGAGGUGAAGAGGACACGCUCCUCAAGAAAGGACAGAUCACAAUACUAAAAGACACGCUUGGAAGAAAGCAUUUUGAUCUCCUUAGCAGUCCUGACUUCUCAUACAACGAGUUCUUAGUCCAAUAUGACAAAGAUAAUAGAUGUAUAGGUUUACGUUUUUCCGUGCUUGGUUCUUUUUUGCCUUAUAAAUUAUUUAUAAAUAGUGUAUAAAAUGUAUAAACUUUACGAAUGCUUUAUAAAUCCUUAUAAAAUAUAUUUUACAAA